rnacentral:rRNA from 1 species
UACGUAGGGGGCGAGCGUUGUCCGGAUUUACUGGGCGUAAAGAGCGCGCAGGCGGUCGGAUCAGUCGAAUGUGAAAGCCCCCGGCUCAACUGGGGAGGGUCAUUCGAUACUGUCCGACUCGAAGGCAGGAGAGGGAAGCGGAAUUCCCGGUGUAGUGGUGAAAUGCGUAGAUAUCGGGAGGAACACCAGUGGCGAAGGCGGCUUUCUGGCCUGUUCUUGACGCUGAGGCGCGAAAGCUAGGGGAGCGAACGGG